UGGGGCUGCUAUCAGUGUUUUAUGGCACUUUAAUCCAUAUCCACCUUGUGUGCAAUGUCAUCUCACUGGGGUUACGUUUGUAAAAUUUCGUGAUCCGUUUGGGAUUUAUAUCUACUCAGAACUUUAGUCAUUUUGUCUGAAACAUAUUAUGAAUAACUUAAUUCAAAAUACAACUUUCAACAACGGAUCUCUUGGCUCUCGCAUCGAUGAAGAACGCAGCGAAAUGCGAUACGUAAUGUGAAUUGCAGAAUUCAGUGAAUCAUCGAAUCUUUGAACGCAUAUUGCGCUCUCUGGUAUUCCGGAGAGCAUGCUUGUUUGAGUAUCAGUAAACACCUCAACUCCCUUUCUUCUUGAAAUGGAGCUGGACUUGAGUGAUCCCAACGCUUUAUUCAUAAAGUGGCGGGUUACUUGAAAUGCAGGUGCAGCUGGACUUUUCUCUGAGCUAUAAGCAUAUCUAUUUAGUCUGCCUCAAAAACAGAUUAUUACCUUUGCUGCAGCUAACAUAAAGGAGAUUAGUUCUUGUGCUGACUGAUGCAGGAUUCACAAAGACCGCUUCGGCUGUCUUUGUAAACUCGAUCUCAAAUCAAGUAAGACUACCCGCUGAACUUAAGCAUACA
rnacentral:rRNA from 1 species